CAGUGAAUCAUCGAAUCUUUGAACGCACCUUGCGCUCCUUGGUAUUCCGAGGAGCAUGCCUGUUUGAGUGUCAUGG
rnacentral:rRNA from 1 species